GGGAACCUCACCCGGCCCGGACACCGCGAGGAUUGACAGACUGAGAGCUCUUUCUCGAUUCGGUGGGUGGUGGUGCAUGGCCGUUCUUAGUUGGUGGAGCGAUCUGUCUGGUUAAUUCCGAUAACGAACGAGACCCCAACCUGCUAACUAGCCCUCGGGUCCUGCUUCUGUUGGGCCCGACGGAAUGAUUCGCUUCUUAGAGGACUCGCGGCGCCUAGCCGCACGAAGGGGGGCGAUAA
rnacentral:rRNA from 1 species